UCGAAUAGUUAAAUAAUUUUCAAUACGAAGAUUUUAUCGACAAUACAUCACGUAGCUAGGUAAGUCGUAAGUUCGUAACACUAAACGAAUGUAAAAUUAUUCGAACUCUGAAGAAAUCGUCGUCGCCGGUUUACCGUCGUCAUAAGACGUAAGACCACUGUCGUUCAAAAAGAAAAAAAAAAUGACAUGAUUUAUAUGUAACAUACUAACAUAUAAUAAUAAUACGUGCGUGUGUACAGCGACUGUGUGUAUAAUUUUUGAAUUACACUAAUAUAAUAUCUGUUGCCUGUUAUUAUGAACAAUAAAACCAUCAAGAUUUCAGUAAUAGCAGAGGUUGAAAAUCACUACUUUCAUGUGCGCUAUCACUAGAGUUACAUUUAUAUCCCUGCAAUCAUUGCUACUAU